GCUGAUUUUAGAUAGAGAUCCGAGAAGAGAGAGAAAUAAGAGACAAGAAGAAGGAGAAGAGGAGAGGGAACAGAACUUGAGAAACUAAGUUACUGCGAGUAAAAGUUUGGCUAGGUUUCCAAGAUGUGUGGGCAACGCUUGAGAAAGGCUUUAAAGAGCCUUUGGAAGGAGUAACAUUGACUUUGGUCCAAAAGAAGGUCGUGCAAAAGACACGAAGGAAGGAUCAAUAAGCACUCACUAUCAUCCGCCAAUUUCUGGAUGAUGCUACUUUUGAGAUAGUGGCGAACGCAACCAUCGCCAAUCAAGCAUGAGAAAUUUUGCAACAUUCAAACCAAGGAGCUGAUAAAGUAAAAAAGUAUGUCUACAAAAACUACAUGGUGACUUUGAAAAGUUACAUAUGCUUGAAUCCAAGAAUAUUUCAGAAUACUUUGUCAAAUUAUUAGCCAUAUACAAUCAAAUGAAGAGAUAUGGGGAGAAGAUGGAAGAGACGUGUAGUAGAAAAGAUUCUACGCUCACUGCAAAAGAAAUUCUAUUAUAUUGUAGUUGUGA